AGUGAACGCUGGCGGUAGGCCUAACACAUGCAAGUCGAACGGCAGCACAGUAAGAGCUUGCUCUUACGGGUGGCGAGUGGCAGACGUGUGAGGAAUACAUCGGAAUCUACUUUUUCGUGGGGGAUAACGUAGGGAAACUUACGCUAAUACCGCAUACGACCUACGGGUGAAAGCAGGGGAUCUUCGGACCUUUCGCGAUUGAAUAAGCCGAUGUCGGAUUAGCUAGUUGGCGGGGUAAAGGCCCACCAAGGCAACGAUCCGUAGCUGGUCUGAGAGGAUGAUCUGCCCCCCCGGACUUGAGCUACGGUACAGACCACUAUCGGAGGGAGGAGAGGGGAAUAGUGGACAAUGCGAGCAAGCCUGAUCUAGACCUACCGAGUGGGUGAAGAAGGCCUUCGGGUUGUAAAGCUAAUCUGUUGGGAAAGAAAAGCAGCAGGUGAAUCCCCCGAUGUUCUGACGGUACCCAAAGAAUAAGCACCGGCUAACUUCGUG
rnacentral:rRNA from 1 species